rnacentral:rRNA from 1 species
CCUACGGGGAGCAGCAGUGAGGAAUAUUGGUCAAUGGACGAGAGUCUGAACCAGCCAAGUAGCGUGAAGGAUGACUGCCCUAUGGGUUGUAAACUUCUUUUAUAUGGGAAUAAAAUGUUCCACGUGUGGGAUUUUGUAUGUACCAUAUGAAUAAGGAUCGGCUAACUCCGUGCCAGCAGCCGCGGUAAUACGGAGGAUCCGAGCGUUAGCCGGAUUUAUUGGGUUUAAAGGGAGCGUAGGUGGAUGGUUAAGUCAGUUGUGAAAGUUUGCGGCUCAACCGUAAAAUUGCAGUUGAAACUGGCAGUCUUGAGUACAGUAGAGGUGGGCGGAAUUCGUGGUGUAGCGGUGAAAUGCUUAGAUAUCACGAAGAACUCCGAUUGCGAAGGCAGUUCACUGGACUGCAACUGACACUGAGGCUCGAAAGUGUGGGUAUCAAACAGGAUUAGAUACCCGAGUAGUC